rnacentral:rRNA from 1 species
GACGGGGGGUGCGAGCGUUAAUCGGAUUUAUUGGGUGUAAAGGGGGCCUAGGUGGCUGAGUAAGUCAGAGGUGAAAGCUCCACGGCUCAACCGGGAAAUCGCCUUUGAUACUGCUUGGCUCGAGUCCGGACGAGGGAAGCGGAAUUCCGUGUGUAGCGGUGAAAUGCGUAGAUAUACGGAGGAACACCAGUGGCGAAGGCGGCUUCCUGGGCCGGUACUGACGCUGAAGCCCGAAAGCGUGGGGAGCGAACGGG